rnacentral:rRNA from 1 species
UACGAAGGGUGCAAGCGUUACUCGGAAUCACUGGGCGUAAAGGGAGCGUAGGCGGGUUUCUAAGUCAGGUGUUUAAUCCCGGGGCCCAACCCCGGACAGGCACUUGAAACUGGGAAUCUUGAAUAGUGGAGAGGUCAGUGGAAUUGGGGGUGUAGCGGUGGAAUGCGUAGAGAUCCCCAAGAACACCAGUUGCGAAGGCGGCUGACUGGACACAUAUUGACGCUGAGGCUCGAAAGCAUGGGGAGCAAACAGG